GCCCUCAGCAUCCAGGCCGUUAUUAACGCUGAGAAUGGCCGCUCGGAGUGCUCGCCCUCAGCGUCCAGGCCGUUAUUAACGCUGAGAAUGGCGGCUCGGAGAGCUCGCCCUCAGCGUCCAGGCCGUUAUUAACGCUGAGAAUGGCCGCUCGGAGUGCUCGCCCUCAGCGUCCAGGCCAUUAUUAGCGCUGAGAAUGGCCGCUCGGAGAGCUCGCCCUCAGCGUCCAGGCCAUUAUUAGCGCCGAGAAUGGCCGCUCGGAGUGCUCAGCGUCCAGGCCAUUAUUAGCACUGAGAAUGGCCGCUCGGAGUGCUCAGCGUCCAGGCCAUUAUUAGCACUGAGAAUGGCGGCUCGGAGAGCUCGCCCUCAGCAUCCAGGCCAUUUUU